rnacentral:rRNA from 1 species
GUCUAUGACCAUGCCACCCUAAACAAGCCCGAUCCUGUCUGAUCUCGGAAGCUAAGCAGGUUCGGGCCUGGUUAGUACUUGGAUGGGAGACCACCUAGGAAGACCAGGUGCUGUAGGCG